rnacentral:rRNA from 1 species
GACGAACGCUGGCGGCGUGCCUAACACAUGCAAGUCGAACGGAAAGGCCCUGCUUUUUUGCGCUGCUCGAGUGGCGAACGGGUGAGUAACACGUGAGUAACCUGCCCUUGAUUUUGGGAUAACUUCAGGAAACUGGGGCUAAUACCGGAUAGGAUCUCCUGCUGCAUGGUGAGGGUUGGAAAGUUUCGCCGGUUGGGGAUGGACUCGCGGCUUAUCAGCUUGUUGGUUGGGUAGUGGCUUACCAAGGCUUUGACAGGUAGCCGGCCUGGGAGGGUGACCGGCCACGUUGGGCCUGAGAUACGGCCCAGACUAGUACGGGAGGCAACGGUGGGGAGUAUUGCACAGUGGGCGGAAGCCUGGUGCGACAACGCCGCGUGCGGGAUGACGGCCUUCGGGUAGUGAACCGCUUUCGCUUGUGACGAAGCGUGAGUGACGGUAAUGGGUGAAGAAGCACCGGCUAACUACGUG